GGCAAUGCAGCUCAGUGGAAGAGCACCUGCCCAGCAUACAGGAGGCCAUGGAUUCAACCCCCAGCACCA
rnacentral:tRNA from 1 species